ACGCUGACGAUGCUUAACACAUGCAAGUCUACUUGAACUUCGGUUUGGGUGGCGGACGGGUGAGUAACGCGUAAAGAACUUGCCUCACAGUUAGGGACAACAUUUGGAAACGAAUGCUAAUACCUGAUAUUAUGAUUUUAGGGUAUCCUAAGAUUAUGAAAGCUAUAUGCGCUGUGAGAGAGCUUUGCGUCCCAUUAGCUAGUUGGAGAGGUAACGGCUCACCAAGGCGAUGAUGGGUAGCCGGCCUGAGAGGGUGAACGGCCACAAGGGGACUGAGACACGGCCCUUACUCCUACGGGAGGCAGCAGUGGGGAAUAUUGGACAAUGGACCAAAAGUCUGAUCCAGCAAUUCUGUGUGCACGAUGACGUUUUUCGGAAUGUAAAGUGCUUUCAGUUGGGAAGAAAAAAAUGACGGUACCAACAGAAGAAGUGACGGCUAAAUACGUGCCAACAGCCGCGGUAAUACGUAUGUCACAAGCGUUAUCCGGAUUUAUUGGGCGUAAAGCGCGUCUAGGUGGUUAUGUAAGUCUGAUGUGAAAAUGCAGGGCUCAACUCUGUAUUGCGUUGGAAACUGCAUGACUAGAGUACUGGAGAGGUAAGCGGAACUACAAGUGUAGAGGUGAAAUUCGUAGAUAUUUGUAGAAAUGCCGAUGGGGAAGCCAGCUUACUGGACAGAUACUGACGCUAAAGCGCGAAAGCGUGGGUAGCAAACAGGAUUAGAUACCCUGGUAGUCCACGCCGUAAACGAUGAUUACUAGGUGUUGGGGGUCGAACCUCAGCGCCCAAGCUAACGCGAUAAGUAAUCCGCCUGGGGAGUACGUACGCAAGUAUGAAACUCAAAGGAAUUGACGGGGACCCGCACAAGCGGUGGAGCAUGUGGUUUAAUUCGACGCAACGCGAGGAACCUUAC
rnacentral:rRNA from 1 species